UCCCUGGUAGCUCAGGUGGUAAAGCAUCUGCCUGCAAUGCAGGAGACUCGGGUUUGAUCCCUGGGUCGGGAA
rnacentral:tRNA from 1 species